rnacentral:rRNA from 1 species
GACGAACGCUGGCGGCGUGCCUAAUACAUGCAAGUCGAACGCAGUGCGGACGGGUGACUAACACGUGCGUAACCUCCCAUCAGAAGGGAUAACACAUGGAAACAGGUGCUAAACCGAUAACGCAGGAUGUACCCGCUGGGCAUUUGCUAGUGGGUGAGGUAACGGGUCACCAAGGCGACGAUGCAAAGACAACGUGGGAGGUGGUGGGGUCACAUUGGAGUGGCGACAGGGCCAAUACUCCUACGGGAGGGAGCAGUAGGGGAUGGUCGGCAAAGGAGGAAAGUCUGACAGAGAAACGCCGCGUGAGUGAAGAAGGUUUUCGGAUCGGAAAACUCUGUUGUUAGAGAAGCGGUAUCUAACCAGAAAGCAACGGCUAACUACGUGACAGCAGCCGCGGUAAGUC